UGGGGAAUAUUGGACAAUGGGCGCAAGCCUGAUCCAGCCAUGCCGCGUGAGUGAUGAAGGCCUUAGGGUUGUAAAGCUCUUUUACCAGGGAAGAUAAUGACGGUACCUGGAGAAUAAGCCCCGGCUAACUUCGUGCCAGCAGCCGCGGUAAUACGAAGGGGGCUAGCGUUGCUCGGAAUCACUGGGCGUAAAGCGCACGUAGGUGGGUCGUUAAGUCGGGGGUGAAAUCCUGGAGCUCAACUCCAGAACUGCCUUCGAUACUGGCGAUCUUGGAGUCCGGUAGAGGUGAGUGGAACUGCGAGUGUAGAGGUGAAAUUCGUAGAUAUUCGCAAGAACACCAGUGGCGAAGGCGGCUCACUGGCCCGGUACUGACACUGAGGUGCGAAAGCGUGGGGAGCAAACA
rnacentral:rRNA from 1 species